UACGUAGGGGGCAAGCGUUGUCCGGAAUCAUUGGGCGUAAAGAGCGUGUAGGCGGCCCGAUAAGUCCGCUGUGAAAGUCCAGGGCUCAACCCUGGAAUGCCGGUGGAUACUGUCGGGCUCGAGUUCGGAAGAGGAGAGUGGAAUUCCCGGUGUAGCGGUGAAAUGCGCAGAUAUCGGGAAGAACACCCGUGGCGAAGGCGGCUCUCUGGAACGCAACUGACGCUGAGACGCGAAAGCGUGGGGAGCAAACAGG
rnacentral:rRNA from 1 species